ensembl:lincRNA
GGGCUUCGAGGUCGCGCAGACGGCGCUCCGCGGAGCGCGGGCCGCUGUGCCAAGCCGCUGCCCGGGCGGCCGGAAGGAAGGCUCCGACCCGCGCUCCUUACCCUGCCGGCUGUGGAAACUCCGCAAGAGAGAACCGCCCUUCUGAGACCGCGAGCAGAGAAGAGAUUCGGGAGUGCUGCUGGCCUGCUCGCGGCUAGCUGCGCGAGUCCCUGCUGCUCCGCGUGGAGACCCGUGCCUGGAGUUGGAGGCCCCUUGAGAGUGGAGGUCUCCUGGCCGCCAGGGCCGAGCCUGCUGCGUGGUGUCUGGUCUGCGCGGCCGAGCGCAUUUAAAGAUUACCACUUUGAGUACACGGAGUGCGACAGCAGCGGCUCCAGGUGGAGGGUUGCCAUCCCCAACUCUGCCGUGGACUGCUCCGGCCUGCCUGACCCCGUGAGAGGAAAGGAGUGCAGUACGUCUCCACUUUCUGACCACCCGUUUCCCGAUUACACUAUAAUGCUCUUGUAAUAGCCCUGUGAACAGGAGAAUCCUGCAAGAGUGAGCAUGUCUAUUGAUGAUUCCAUGCCGCUUCCUCAGUACCUCGCGUCCCUGUGUCUGAAGUCUGGGCAAUAAUACAAGGAUGGUGUUAAAAAAAUCUGUUUUUUCUUGUGUUUGAAAUGAUAGAGGGCAGAGUGGAGAAAUUUCUCUUCAAUGGCUUCUUUUAAAUUAAAACUUCUAUUAAUUGUGUGAAACGAGCACUGCUCGAGUUUGAUGUCUUAACUUUGCAGUGUGCUGUGCAGUGGUACCAAGUACGUGCUCAUUGCUUUGCUGCCUUUGCCACCAGCUACCCGUGAUGCUCAUCUCAUAGUGGGUUUCUUUCUUUUUAUUUUUUAAUUAUAGAAAUACCUUGAAGUAAUGUUUAAAAAGUGAAACCUGCAGAGUGUUCAUUUGUACAGUUGCUGAAUAUCACAUCCAACAACUUAUCUUGUGGCAGUUAAGGAGCUUCAAAGUGCAGCAUUCUGAAUGAAUGGAGAAAUAGGUAGUGAAGUUGAUUUUCAUUUAUAAGCUCUACCUUUUAGAGCACUCUUUGCUUUGGUGAGUCAGGGGAGUCUGCUAUGAAAUAAUGUAGAGGUGGCCUGCACUUCAGACCUAGGAGUGACAGAGUUUGUUUUGAUUUUCCUGCAGUCUUCCAAAUGAUAUUCCUAAAACCUUAGUUCUUCUGAUUCCAAAUGAAAAAGCAUGUGAACAAAUUGUUAAAUGGAUAACUAACUCCUCAUUUAGCCUGAGAGGCAGCGUCGGUUAGGGCUUGCAGAUAAAAGGGAGAUGGCAGAAGUUUUAUGAGGAAGAUUAGGGGAGAGCACCAUUAUUCCUUGGUGGAUAAAGUUGAACAGAUACAGAGAGAACCUGAGAGCCCUGCAGCCUGAGGACAUCCACAUGUGUCUCCAGAGACAGCGUGGCUACUGGAAGGAGGUGACUCCAGGGCUGGGCAUGGGCUGCCACCAUGCACAGGAAAGAUCAGUUCUCAGAGGGUGGCAGUGAAAAGGGCAAAACAGCCUGAGUGAUAUCUGUGCCAUCGGCUUUGUACGUUUCCUUCAGUCAACUCCCACCAAUCUGUGUGGUACUUACCUAUCCUGAGUUUGAAGCAAGGUCUCACUGGGUAGCUCUGCUGGCCCGUUGCUGUGAUGAUCUCCGUCUCAGUCUCUGUUCCCUGUGAUUCUGGCUGCAGAUCUGAGCCAUCACGCAUACUAACUUCACACCUGGGAGGCGUGGUGGCCCUGGCCAGCACUGGCUGUGGAGAGCUGUUGUUAGUUGAAAUGGGCCAUGGGAAGGAUUUCCACAGUGGCAGCUGACAGACGAGGACUUCUUCCCUCUAGAGCCAGACCUUAAACACUUGGCAGUAGAACAGGGCUGCAAUGCGUUGACCAAGGGUGUGAAAGUCUGUUGCAGGACUAAUGACUGAAUAGGGAUCAUUUCUGUCUGAAUGUUACCAGCUGCCCUUUUUACUCAUUAUUUACUAAAAUGUUUCAUGAUGACAUUUUGAAUUUGACUUUCCAGCAAGAUAUUUCCUAGACACUCUGACUAGAAUCAAGCCACUUUUAAUUAUUACUUACUAUUAAAAUGAUACUUAUUUUUAAAAUAACAAUACAUAUGUGGUUGCUGGGACAUUUUCUAUCUUUGUAUUUUGCCUGAAAUCUGAUUUCCAAAUAUUCCUGCAUAAUAUAUUUGCUGUGGUUCUUGUUAGUCUGGCCUUCGAUAUGUGACUUUUUCCUGUGUUAUGACAAAGGCAAGUCAUUGUAAAGCUCACAGGUAAGCUACAGAUCUAAUUAAUUUAGAAGGUUUCAAAUUAUAAUGUCCACAACGCUGCCUGCCAUACCACCUGUCAUUCAUGUUUGCCUCCAGAUAGCAGCGGAGUUAUGAAGAGUGCUCUUCAGGGCAUGGAUUUGCCUACUGCUGACUACAGCUACCAGCUCUCCAUCCUGAGUCUGUGCAUAGGUGUCGCUAUCGCAGGGCGCUACUACAGGGUGGGUGGGCACCCUUCCUGUGAAACAUUUAGAACCAGACAGUUUGGGAUCUUUUCUGAUUUUGGACAGUUUGUAUAUGCGUAAUGAGAUAUCUCAGGGAUGAGACUCAAGUUUAAACCCAAAAUUCAUUUAUGUUUUAUAUAUACUUUAUGUACCUAACCCAAAGGUAAUUUUAUAUAGUAUUUUAAGUAAUGUUGUACGUGAAGUAAACCAUGGGGAAUUUUUCACUUGGGGUGUCAUAUUGACAUAAAAAAUUUCAUAUUUUGGAGCAUUUUGUAUUUUCAGGUUGGCACUGCUCCACCUGGAACAGUGUUUCCUUUUAUUAUUAUUUUUUUGUUUUGUACCAGGGAUUGAGCUCAUGACCUUUCGCUUGCCAGGCAGGUGCUUAUGCCACUAAACUAUAUUCCUAGCCAGUGUUUCUUUUUAGUGAUGAGAAAACUCAGACUUCAGGGGUGAAGGUACUGGCCUUGGGUCACAGCCUCCUUGUGGUCGAUCUUGGUUUAGACAGGCAUGUCCCCAGAGCCUGUCCCUGACCUGAGCUCACCUGCCACCUGCAGAUGUGGUCGGGGUCUCUAGGUCCCCAAGGGGCACAGAGCCCUGUGGUGGAUCCUGGCAGCUUUGAGAGAGGGAGGAAUAUUUAGGGCCCUCACUGUGGAGGGCAUUUCCCCAGGUCCUCAUCACUCCAAAGAGAGUCAGACCCUGAAUCUGGCCUUUGCUAAAAUUGUGUGGAUUCUUUAACAUGAAAUUGGAA